UACGUAGGGUGCAAGCGUUUGUCCGGAAUUAUUGGGCGUAAAGAGCGCGCAGGCGGUAUGACAAGUCAGAUGUGAAAGAGGCCGGCUUAACCGGCAAGGGUCAUUUGAAACUGUCAGACUAGAGUGCAGCAGAGGAUAGUGGAAUUCCCGGUGUAGUGGUGAAAUGCGUAGAUAUCGGGAGGAACACCAGUGGCGAAGGCGACUAUCUGGGCUGCAACUGACGCUGAGGCGCGAAGGCUAGGGUAGCAAACAGG
rnacentral:rRNA from 1 species